AGCGGUUAGCCCGGUGUUCGUUGCUUGUUGCCGCUGCUGCCAGAAAUGACGUGUUCGGCGCUCGGGCUGCCCUUUUAUCGCCUAGACAAGGCACUGCACCCGGAUGACGCUGGAGGUUGAUUUGCGGGGGCGGGACUGUGCUCGUGGCCUCCAGCAGUGCAGACUGUGAUGCAGAUGGGCCAGCAGCCUGACUUGCGUCGCAGUUGGAACCGCAGCGUUGGACAAGGCACUGCACCCGGAUGACGCUGGAGGUUGAUUUGCGGGGGCGGGACUGUGCUCGUGGCCUCCAGCAGUGCAGACUGUGAUGCAGAUGGGCCAGCAGCCUGACUUGCGUCGCAGUUGGAACCGCAGCGUUGGACAAGGCACUGCACCCGGAUGACGCUGGAGGUUGAUUUGCGGGGGCGGGACUGUGCUCGUGGCCUCCAGCAGUGCAGACUGUGAUGCAGAUGGGCCAGCAGCCUGACUUGCGUCGCAGUUGGAACCGCAGCGUUGGACAAGGCACUGCACCCGGAUGACGCUGGAGGUUGAUUUGCGGGGGCGGGACUGUGCUCGUGGCCUCCAGCAGUGCAGACUGUGAUGCAGA
rnacentral:lncRNA from 1 species